UUCGCUCGGGCAGUUUAGGCCAUACUUCAAGUAGCUUCGAAUCUAUACCCGCCACGUAGUGUACGGAACAUGUUCGGCAACUGAUUGCGGGGUAUUGAUAAACAAUUUUCUGCACAUAUUGUUGUGGGAGCGGCGGCCUUAUGUUGGGCACUGUGGCUUACCAGGAAUGAUAUGAUUUUUAAUAACAAAUGUAUCUCAUCUCCUAUGCAGGUUAUUUAUGUGUGUACAUGAUGGCUCCGUACUUGGUCUAUCCUGCAGAGGCCGGAGGACAUGGACCUUUUUAUGAUGGCGUCUACACGGCUGGAACGUACGGCCAGGGAGGUUUUCUACCCCCAUGGAUGGCGGUGUGACCUACGGAUAGGAUCUGCCACUCCUUAG
rnacentral:rRNA from 1 species